rnacentral:rRNA from 1 species
AUACGGAGGGUGCAAGCGUUACUCGGAAUCACUGGGCGUAAAGCGCGCGCAGGCGGGCUGAUAAGUUGGAUGUGAAAGCCUACGGCUCAACCGUAGAACUGCAUCCAAAACUGUCAGUCUAGAGUGUGGGAGAGGAAGAUGGAAUUAGUUGUGUAGGGGUAAAAUCCGUAGAGAUAACUAGGAAUACCAAAAGCGAAGGCAAUCUUCUGGAACACUGCUGACGCUGAGGCGCGAAGGCGUGGGGAGCAAACAGGAUUAGAAACCCCAGUAGUCC